rnacentral:rRNA from 1 species
UAAUGCUUUGGAGUUAAUCAUCCUAAGGACCAUAUCCUUAACUGAUGAGCCAAAGUCGUAUUAGGUGAAGAUACCCUCUUACCAAAGAUGCGUAGCUGAAAAGCCACACUUCCACUGAAACAAGGGGGAGACUCGGAAUUAGAGGCAGCAGUAGAGAAUCUUGUGCAAUGUAUGAAAGUAUGACACAGAGAUGUUGCAAAAGAAGACCGUCAAAUAUACGUGCCAGCAGACGCGGUUAUACGUAAGGUCUAAGUUUUUAUCCGAAAAGGCGUAAAAAGUGUGUCGGCGAUUAUUGUUAGGGUUUUAGGGAGCAAAUGGAAUUUUUAUGUAGCGGUAGAAUGCUUUCAUAUAAAUUAGAACACCGUAGGCGAAAGCAGCUUGCUAUCAACAACCGACGCGGAAACACGAAAGUAAGGGGAGCAAAUAGGAUUAGAUACCCUAGUAGUCCUUACUGUAAAUUAUGAAGAUAAGAUCCCCUCAAUCCAGGGUGGUCAAGCAAAACUUAAGAUAAUUCUGCCUGAAGAGUACGAUCGCAAGAUUAAAAUUCAAAAAAUUUGGCGGUUCACUAAUCCAAUUAGAGGAGCGUGUGGUUUUAUUCGAUAGUCCGCGAUUAACCUUACCGAAAUUAGAAUCCAAACAGGUAUUGCAUGGUCGUCGUCAGUUUGUGUUGUGAAAGGAAUGGAACGAACUUAACCCUUAGUUUAAAUUAAUAGAUCCCUUAUGAUUUAGGCUAAAGGAUGACGUCAGGUCCUUAUGAUCCAUAUGUUUUGGGCCAUACAUGCGCUACAAUCUUAUACACAAAAGGAUUUUAAACCCUUUAAAGUAAAAGCUCGGAAAAUCCCUUGAAAUAAGGGGUAUGAAGUUGGAUUUAAUAGUAAUCAGAAAGUAGAGCGUUCUGGUGAAUAUGGCUCUAGUGUUCGUACAAAUCGCCCGUCAUCUCUACCAAGUAAAGAAUCCUAAAGUGUUAAGCUCAUAAAGUUUAAAUAAAA